rfam:Oryza meridionalis cultivar OR44 (W2112) chromosome 6, whole genome shotgun sequence.
AUUAAGCACAGUUGUGAGUUUCAGUGCACAACGUUUAACCGUCCGUCUUGUUUGAAAUUCUUUUAUAAUUAGUUUUUUUUAUUAUUAAAUGAUAAAACAUGAAUAUUACUUUAUCUGUGACUUAAUUUUUAAAUAAUUUAUAUUUUUUUAAAUAAGAUUACUGGUCAAAUGUUAGACACGAAAAUUUAUAAUUACACUCAAA